rnacentral:rRNA from 1 species
UACAGAGGGUGCAAGCGUUAAUCGGAAUUACUGGGCGUAAAGGGUGUGUAGGUGGUUGCGUAAGUUAGAUGUGAAAUCCCCGGGCUCAACCUGGGAACUGCGUUUAAAACUGCGUGGCUAGAGUAUUGCAGAGGAUAGUGGAAUUUCCAGUGUAGCGGUGAAAUGCGUAGAUAUUGGAAGGAACACCAGUGGCGAAGGCGACUAUCUGGGCAAAUACUGACACUGAGACACGAAAGCGUGGGGAGCAAACAGG